rnacentral:rRNA from 1 species
UCCUACGGGAGGCAGCAGUGGGGAAUUUUGGACAAUGGGCGAAAGCCUGAUCCAGCAAUGCCGCGUGUGUGAAGAAGGCCUUCGGGUUGUAAAGCACUUUUGUCCGGAAAGAAAUGGCUCUGGUUAAUACCUGGGGUCGAUGACGGUACCGGAAGAAUAAGGACCGGCUAACUACGUGCCAGCAGCCGCGGUAAUACGUAGGGUCCAAGCGUUAAUCGGAAUUACUGGGCGUAAAGCGUGCGCAGGCGGUUGUGCAAGACCGAUGUGAAAUCCCCGAGCUUAACUUGGGAAUUGCAUUGGAGACUGCACAGCUUGAGUGUGUCAGAGGGGGGUAGAAUUCCACGCGUAGCAGUGAAAUGCGUAGAGAUCUGGAGGAAUACCGAUGGCGAAGGCGGCCCCCUGGACGAAGACUGACGCUCAGGUGCGAAAGCGUGGGGAGCAAACAGGAUUAGAUACCCUGGUAGUCCACGCCGUAAACGAUGUCGACUUGGAGGUUGUGCCCUUGAGGCGUGGCUUCCGGAGCUAACGCGUUAAGUCGACCGCCUGGGGAGUACGGCCGCAAGGUUAAAACUCAAGAAAUUUGACGG